rnacentral:rRNA from 1 species
GUGGGGAAUAUUGGACAAUGGGCGAAAGCCUGAUCCAGCCAUGCCGCGUGUGUGAAGAAGGUCUUCGGAUUGUAAAGCACUUUAAGUUGGGAGGAAGGGCAGUAAGUUAAUACCUUGCUGUUUUGACGUUACCGACAGAAUAAGCACCGGCUAACUUCGUGCCAGCAGCCGCGGUAAUACGAAGGGUGCAAGCGUUAAUCGGAAUUACUGGGCGUAAAGCGCGCGUAGGUGGUUCAGCAAGUUGGAGGUGAAAUCCCCGGGCUCAACCUGGGAACUGCCUGCAAAACUACUGGGCUAGAGUACGGUAGAGGGUAGUGGAAUUUCCUGUGUAGAGGUGAAAUGCGUAGAUAUAGGAAGGAACACCAGUGGCGAAGGCGACUACCUGGACUGAUACUGACACUGAGGUGCGAAAGCGUGGGGAGCAAACAGGAUUAGAAACCCUUGUAGUCC